CUUCGUGCACUUCGGAGAAGUCUGAUGAUGAAUGAGCUGAGACUGGGCCAAAGAAAAGGGCUCACUGUGCAUGAAGACUUUUUCUGCAGGACCAAACAGCACUUCAAACAGAUGAAAAUCAGGCCAGGUUCAAGAGGCUUGUGCAGACAUUCACUGACCCUAUGACAGAAGUGUACCUGCUUUUCUUCCAAGCCACCGUACCAACUUUCACUUCUUUCAACUUGCUUCUUCAGAGAGAGCAGUCGUCAAUAUUUUUGUUACAUGAUGAGAUUGUGAAAUUUGUACGCAAGCUAUGUCCCAAGUUUAUGGUUCCAGCAGCUCUGCAGGGCCAUGAGGAGCCUUGUGAAAUUGCCUUUAAAGAGAAGGCAAACCAUUUACCAGGAAGAAAGUUGGAUUCACAACCAGGGCUAAACUUAACAGAUUACUCGACGAGGGUGACAUCACACCACAGCAGGUGGAUGUAUUCCAUGAAGCUGUGUUGUUUCCUGACAAGUGCUGUGGACUAUGCAUUUAAGAAGCUGCCACUGGAAGAGCCACUGAUCAAACAUGCAAAAUUCGUAGAUGUACGGCAGAGGGCUGAAAGUGACACUGAAGAUGUCCUGUACUUUUGUUGAAAGGUUUCCCCAUCUCCUCCCAUACCAUGGGCCAGAGGAGCAUGACCUUCUGGGUGAGGAGUUUCUAAAUUAUCAGACCAUGCCAAUGAUAUCCCUGCAGGACAAAACUGAAAUGGAAAGCUUCUGGGCUGAAAUGGAAACAUAAGGUGAUAGGAGCCAAAGAACUCGAGAGGCUUGCUGCCAUCGCCAAACUGGUCCUGGUGUUGCCCCAUGCAAACGCAGAUGCUGAGAGGGUGUUUUCAGUUGUGGGACUGAACAAAACCAAGAGAAGAAACAGCCUAGCAUUGGAUGGCACCCUGUCAUCAAUAAUGACCAUAAAGAUGGCCAAUCUGGAGCCCUGCUUCAAAUGGGAGCCCCCCUCAGAUAUCAUCAAGGCCUCCAAGAAGGCCACAGGCCAGUAUAACCAUGCCCACAGAUCAUAGACAAGGACUUUACCCAGCUUCUGAUCUGCAUCUGAUACUGAUUAUGCCUCAUUUUAGUUAUUUUUGAAAUGCAUUCGUUUUAUUGCUUGAAAAAGUUGCACUGUUUAAGCACAAUAUUUGUUUCUGAUGGCCCAUGUGGUGGGAAGAAUAAUAUCCCUCCCUAACUAAUCUUGUGUCGUUUUUGGCUGAACAUUAAUCAUCAAGUGCUCUUAAGAAUACAAUUAUUCACAACAUAGACUAGGUUUCAGUUAAGAAUUAGUUUAAUACCAUUCUAAUCAUAAUAUCAAUCAACCUACCUAGGUCAAAUCUUAAACACUGGUCUAUGAAUAAGGCUUUAUUGUGGUACAUAGGCAGUCAUUUAGGCACAACAAUAGUUUUCUGGUUGAAUGUUCAGCUCAAGUCUAGAAGGCCCUACAAG